UUUACUGACUUCAGGAGUGGAAGGACAUGUGGCCACCACUCACCUCCUGAUUUAUCCAAUGCUCUAUCUAGUCCCAGAUUUAAAAUCUGGAAUAGAACUGUUUAUGGGCGGAGGCCUGCAUUGAGGAAAAAAACCCAGUGAGCUUUAGGAGGCACUAGACCUCUGCUGGAGGAAUCCUAUAGGCUAGAACUUUAACCUAACUAUUUGUCACUUGCAAAUGCACAUGCACACACACACACACGCACACACAUCCCUCUAAUGUUAGGAUGUUAAGGAACAAUUUUGAGUCACUCCAAAUUUUCUACCAAAAAUCUUUUAGCCCAAGAUUUAGCUAACUAGGGAUGAUAUGAUGAUUUUUAUAGCAAGGACCAAAACUGAGCUUACAAUACAAACUGUUACACCUUUAACUAGGGAGUACAGUUGUGUGGUUGCUCCAUAUACUCUGUCCUUCACUACUUCCUGCUCAGAUCUGAACACCCUCUAAUUCCUGUCCAAAAAUUUAAAACAAAUUGUUUUAUACAAACAUUAGUAAUCUGGAUAGAAUUCUCUGCAUACGGCUGGAGAACUGAAAAGAGAUAGUGGUAACAAACAGCUACAACUGACAAUUUUCCCAGCUGUCAGUUGAUGCGGGAGGAGAUGUGGAGUAAAAGAAGGGAAGUGAAGACCUGCUAUUUGUACUGCACCAAAAACAAAAAAACACAAAAGACAAAACAAGUAAAAUAUUUGGGGAAAUUGAGGUAGCCAUGACAUCUCAUAAUUGAACAGUAAAAAAAAAAAAAAAACCACACAAAAUCAUUUUCCAUUCAGUAAUUAAUCAAAAAACAAAAAGGGUCACUUCAUCCCAUUUCAUUUUAUAUACAUUUAUAUUCCGAGGCAUUACAUUUUCUUCCCUAGCAUAUGUUCAGGUUCUAGCUAUGAGAUUAUCUAUAGCUGACACCAUGAUGACCUGCUGUAGCUUUUUAAGAAGGGAAAGUUGCAAUGCAAUACCAAAAUUUUAAUCACAGUAUCUAAUUAAUUAAAGUGUAGAAUGAGUCACUGUGUCUAAAAGCAAAUAAACAAAAUAGAAGCUGCUGCUGUGACAAUCUAAUAGAUAGGUAUUGUAGGUUAAAGACAGGAAACUCCCUGAUCAUACACACAUGCUGUGCAAGAGACUUUCAAAACUUGGGGUUAACAGUGAUUAACACAGCACUAAACAGUGUUAUAAGAAUACAGCAAAAGCAUAAAUGACACUUUUUGGUUAGCAUUAAAAUGCUGAACUGCAUUGUUUUGUCUUAAAAACUUACUCCCUAACAGAAGGAGUAAGUCUCAUCUAGCAGUAAAAUGGAAGCUCCUAUUGACUGUUUUUAUACUGGCCUUUAAAUAGAAUUCAGCAAUAAUAUUUGAAUAUUAGCCUAGCUGGCUGUUUAACUGGCUAUUGUGGCCAGAACCAAGUUGUUUAAAGACUGCAGCCAGACCCAAAUUAGUAUAUUUAAACAGUUAAUUGGAAUUCAAGUCCAGUAUUGUUGGCCUGAGAACCAAGCAUCAUCCACCAUGAAUGAGAUACUCAGUGACAAACAUUUCUAAAAACAAUGAACAUUCGUUUUAAGAGAUAUUUAGUAAAUAAAACUGGCUAAACAACUGGGCACCAAGCUUCAUGAAUGAGAAGUAUAGACAGUUAUAUACUACAGACUGUACCUCCCUUAACUGGACUCCCCCCUGGACCAGAGCCCAGGAACAGGAAGGUCUGGCGAUGGAGCAGGAGCACGGUUCUGGAAAUCCUAUCCAGGCUUGCAAUAAAGAGUGCUUUCCAGUGGCUAUACAGGACUGCCCAGGACAGAAAAUCUCUAACUUCAACAUUUCCAAAAAAUAGUUCAUUCAAUUUUAAGAUGAUGGAUUUAUCUCUAGCUGCUCUUCUGUGCUCCUACAAAAUAUAGGAGCUACAAAGUCUUCAAUCUGGGCAUAUUUCUUAGCCUAGGAAUAAAAAUCCAAAAGUUGCCUCAACACAAGACACACACUUUUUCUACUUACAAGGUUACGGCUGUCAAGUGACUUCCUGCUUCCAAAAAUACAACUGCACUGAAAUGAACUGGGGAUAUAAGCUUUAAAAAUAUACCUUUAGAAAAGGUGCAAAAAUCUUCUUAUAAGUAAAAAUAACCAAACUCAUUUCAGCAAAUGGUAUUAAACUUCUCUCCACUUAAGAAUAAAUAUUGGAUAUCCACCAGCCUAAGGAAGUGUGUUUUGUUUUGUAAGAAAUUGUCUUUGAAAAGUUGUUUCCAAUAGUAAUGUUCACCAUCAACUACAGCAGAUGUAAAAUUUCUAGCUGUCUUCAUUGAAAUCCUGGAGUUAUGAAGUGAAGCUGGAUUAGAGGGUCUUUAACGGUCUUCUAAAUUAAAAUUUGUUUGGCAUAUAGGUUAAAAGAACUACAUGACUGACAGGAAUUUAGAAUAUUGCCUUGACAGCAAGACCACAGUGUCCCCAUUAUUCUUACUGUGUAAGCAUCUGCAUACAUGCAUUUUUGCAUAGCAUUCUAAAAAGCCUACCACUCAUUUCUACAUUGUAGGUAAUGUGUGGGGGAGGUGCAGACAUGCAGCCACAUCACGCCUACUGCCACUUUCCUUUAUAUAGUACUGCUUAGUACACCCCAUGCAGCCAGCAAAUUUUGUAGACCUAUGUAGGUGCAGGGCAUGAUCAAGCUCUCUGGAACAUUAUGCACCCAUCAAGGAGUAGGGACAGCAAUUCUCCCUGGCUUAGCCAUGCAGGCUUGCAUACAGGCCAGGCAUAAUUUGCCUCAGUGUAAACAUAGAUAUAAGAAUAAAACAAACUGAUCCAUUUAAGUUACCACAUUAGUGUACACAAAUGCUGGCAUUUUCUACUAUGUAAGAGAUUGCAUUCAUUAAAACAGCAAAAUAAAGCACUUGUUCCACUCCAUUAGUAUAAAAUUCCUUUUGCAAUAUUUUUAGUUAAUUUCACACAAGUUUUAAGCCGUUCAGUCCUAAAUCACAAAACCUGUAAGACUAGAAACCACUAUUCUUAAAGCUUGCUUCUGUCUCCAAAGGUAUCUUGUGGUCUGUCAGUGUAGUUUGCGGGCACGCAUGUCAAUGCUAAUCUUUCGUACCACUCCUGUAAUCUAGGUAACACAUUUAAGCCUUGCAACAUCCAACAGGAAGCAGACACAGCUGCUGUGUAAUACAUACAAAGUGACUGAGUAUACUGAGACCGUGCAUAACAUACACUCAGGAGUUAGGUAGUUUAUAAAUCAUUUAAUUCCAUUCAGUUUGAAUUCAGAGUGAACAAGGGGUAGCAAGAAUCAUUGAAACACUGGCCAAAGUGUACACAGUAUAGUCCAUAGGUAUUUUAUGAGAGACUGGAGGACAGCAUCCAGGUCUAGACAUUUACUCUGCUGGUUUUCCUUAAACCCUCAAUUUUACUAAAGUUGCUCAGAAAAACCUAUACUAGCCCACUCUUUUCAUGCAUCAUUUCUCAAUAAAUGAACUAUUAAAGUACAAGGCGCCAAAGAAAGCAACAGCCACUAAUAUCAGGAUUUCCUCUUGAUUUGUGAACAUAUUUGCAAAUGUUGCAUUCACAUGCCAUAAUCUUAGUGUCAGCCCACUGCAAGUCAGGGUGGCCAAGUAUUCUAAUCUUAGUUUCUACCUACUGCACUAUUACGGACCCUACUGAGUCAAAGGGUAGCUUCCAAAUGGCCCUAUGGCUUACAUGAUAUCCAUCCCCUAUGUUCCCUCAAAACUACAUAAAGUCCUAUCCAGAGUUCUGUAAGAGAAGAGAGGAUUAAUCUGAAAAUGAAUUUUAAGAGAUUAGACACAUUUCAUUGUUAGGGUACUGGUGCCUUUCAAAAUACAUUGCCAGAAAUAGCGUAACCUAACAUGGCGUGUGUUGCUGGAGUUCAGAAGCACAUUACUUACGUCAUUUCUUUUUGGGAGGCAGGAAAGGGGAGUCAGACCUGUGUGUGUUUCCCCUCCCCCACUACAGCCAGGUGAACAAAAGUUUAUUUUGUACAUUGUAGCACAGUAGGGUCAUACAACACACCACAAAAAAGUCCAAGGCUAGAAUAUUAUGUUUAUCACCCACUAAGCUAGCAGAAGUUGGAACUUCUGUAGAGAGAGCUCUGAGAACAAAGAAAAUGGAAGCUUUUUGCAGAGAGAAGUGGCUUGGAUCAAGAGAAGAAAAAUGGCAUAUUGGUAAAGAGUGAUAUCUAUUAGUUAAAUCAAGGGGAUACUUAUCAAGGGAUACUUACAGCUCUAAAGAAAGCUUGGUUCAAAAUUCCAGUCUGACAGGAAAGUGAUAAAGUCCAAAAUGCCUCCAGAUUUUUUACACUCUCCAAACCUUCAAAUCUUUGAGAAAAGUGGUCAAAUUAGGCGACCAUUGAAGUGAUCUGCUCCGCAAGGAUAGAAGAAUCGCACCCACUGUCAUCGGACAAUGUAAAUUCAGAUGUUUUUCACUGUCAGUGUUCCAAGCAAUUUUAAAGUAUUUUAAAAGUGGAAGGCAGAAAGUCUUUGCUUUGGAUAGUAGAAAAAAAGUCAGUGACCCUUCCUGGGAUUCUGUUGUACAGAAUAAUCACAGUCUGUGUUGCUGGAGUUUAGGGGGAUAGCUUUCAUUCACAAAGUCAAUAGUUGGCAAUAUGUUUUUACUGUAAAUAUCAAAGUAAUUCAUGAAGGAAGCUUUUUUACAUUACAGAUUGGUAAAUGAUUUCUAUAUUAGUGAACUCAGUUUAAGUAAUAAAAUGUUAGUUGCUGUGAAAGAAUUUAAUGGAAAUUUCAACAUAUAUCCAACCUUUUUAUUAUAAUUAACAGUAUUGUACAAUUUUCAACUGCAGGUUGAACCUCCCUGAUCCAGCACUCUUGGGGCCUGAGGUGUCCCAGAUGAGAGAAUUUGCCAGAUCAGUGGAGGUCUUACACCGGCUCUCAGCCCCCACUGCCCUCUCCUUCGGCCUGGCUGAAGUGCCUGCUGGUCAACGCCAGCCCUACUUCUGGCCAGGUGGCACACGGCCCUGACUGGGCUGCUGCAGCCCCAGCUCCACUGCCAAGUGGCACGCA